GGGGAAUAUUGGACAAUGGGCGCAAGCCUGAUCCAGCCAUGCCGCGUGGGUGAAGAAGGCCUUCGGGUUGUAAAGCCCUUUUGUUGGGAAAGAAAAGCAGCCGGCCAAUACCCGGUUGUUCUGACGCUACCCAAAGAAUAAGCACCGGCUAACUUCGUGCCAGCAGCCGCGGUAAUACGAAGGGUGCAAGCGUUACUCGGAAUUACUGGGCGUAAAGCGGCGUAGGUGGUGGUUUAAGUCCGUUGUGAAAGCCCUGGGCUCAACCUGGGGACUGCAGUGGGUACCGGAUCACUAGGGUGUGGGCGAGGGGAGUGGGAUUCCCGGUGUAGCCGGGAAAUGCGUAGAGAUCGGGAGGAACCUCAGUGGCGAAGGCGAAUGCCUGGGCCAAAACUGACACUGAGGCAAGAAAGCGUUGGGAGCAAACA
rnacentral:rRNA from 1 species